UUCUGCCCACGGUGACUGGGCAGAGGAGUGCAGUGUCCAGCGGGGGGCAAGGAGCCUGGUCCUGGCACUUCAGUCACCAGCAGGGGACCUUCAAUGCUCUCUCACACUGAGUACUUUUGAAGCACUUGAUGGAACCACUCCUUGGUACCCUCAGAGACCAGAGGGCAUCAGAUGCCCCAGAACUGCACUGCUAGGCAGUUGUGACCCACCUGAUGCCAGUGCUGGGAACUGAAAUCAAGUCUGCUACAAGAUCUGUCAGAGCUCUUAACCAGAAACCAUGCUCCCUGUACCCUCUGUCUUGAGGCUUUGAAGAAACCAUGCCUGAGUUCGUGGAUGGGUAUAUAUGAGCUAGGCUUGAACAAUGAAACUGUGGAACUACCCUGGACUUACUGCUGUCUCAGGGAUCAGCAUGUAAAAUUUGUUCCCAAUCAAAACGUGUAGGAAACGCGGAGCACUGAGUUCCACCUGAGUCUGGUCCCAGGAGAGAAGGAGAGACCUGGUGCUCUUCAGUUCUCUGACCUCCACAAGCUACAAGUUACAUCAAGCUGAUGUAACUUACCCACUGUGAUUCUUCUCAGACUCGGCACCCAGUAUGCGUCGCGUACGUUAAAGAGCAUGGCAGGCUCAAGCUGCACCUCCAUCAGAAGCCCACAUCUUAGUCACAUUGCAUGAUGUCAUUAGCUUAAAGCUGUGAUCCACUGGGGAUGAUUUUACUCCAGAAGUAUUUGACAGUGUGUGGAGAUAUUUUUGGUUGCCACACCUGUAGGGUUGCUCUGACCGAGUAGGCUGAAACCGAAGAUACGGACCCCAAUCCUAUAAAGCACAGGAGAGCUUUCCAGAAAGGAAGAGUGAUCCAGCCCCAAACGGCAACAGUGCUGAGCAUGGACCCCCAUGCAGAACAGAACUCACUAAAGCACACUUUGCUGAAAUACAAGACCUUCUGUAACGAUACAGAAGAAAAGUUUCACGUCACUUGGCACUUACUUCUGAAAGAGCCAAGCAUCUGAGAUGAAAAUGAGGACAGGGAACAGAAAGCCACCAUCUUUCAGCUGUUAGAGCCCUCGUGGUCAGCACAUGUGAUCGUUAGGAAGUAGGCCAAAUGAUGGUGUCUAACGCAGACAUCGCAUUUCACCCAGAAUACAAACUGGCAUUUGCUAGUAUUGAGAUGUGUAAAAUGGAAUCUGGGUGGGCUUCAUUUUGAUCCCAGUGUCUGACAUGAGGACACUGAAAUAGGAAACCGCAAUAAUGAGAAAGAAGAUAGUUAACAUUAUUUCAAAGACUUGAUUACCAUGUGUUAAUUGUACAUAAUGGCUGCCUCUGUACAAGUUCCACACAAGUUCCACAUAAGGUACUUUGGUCACAUUUACCCUCUCUGUUACCUUCUCUUAUUCUCAGUCACACACACACACACACACACACACACACACACACACACACACACAAAACAAAAAAAACCUCGAGUCUGCUAAACCUAUCUGUGUUACUAUGUAACUGUGUUACCAAGAUUCUUCAAUGUAGAAACUGUUUCACAAAGAACCUUUUUAGUUCCUUUCCAUAAAAUUGUGCUGUGAUUUCUCUUGUAUAUGUCUCUCUCCUUGGCUAGACUGGGACCCUGUGGCUGGCAGGGCUGGUGUCUUAUUUAUCAUUAAAACUUGAUGCUUUGCCAGUGAACAGGGCUCUCACUGGAGGUCUGUUACCUUAGAAAGCAGCACUGCCCACACACCUGGAUCGUCUAAAACCUCCUAAUUCAGAGGUUGUCACUAAUCAGGUCUACGGCUUUUCCACAGGCAAGAGAGCUCUUUGUAUUCAGUGAGUAUUAGAGAGGCUAGCACACAGUACUCAAUUAACCAGGACACUGAAUUCAAUUUAUCUCAAGACUAAUUAUUGUUAAUUUUCUGUAGGGUAAGACAAUGUGAACAUCUUCCUCACAUGGACUCAGUAAACAGUGGGGACUUUUUUUCUUAUUUUAAUUUUUU